ACGUACACUCCUACGGGAGGCAGCAGUGGGGAAUAUUGCACAAUGGGCGCAAGCCUGAUGCAGCCAUGCCGCGUGUAUGAAGAAGGCCUUCGGGUUGUAAAGUACUUUCAGCGGGGAGGAAGGCGAUAAGGUUAAUAACCUUGUUGAUUGACGUUACCCGCAGAAGAAGCACCGGCUAACUCCGUGCCAGCAGCCGCGGUAAUACGGAGGGUGCCAGCGUUAAUCGGAAUUACUGGGCGUAAAGCGCACGCAGGCGGUCUGUCAAGUCGGAUGUGAAAUCCCCGGGCUCAACCUGGGAACUGCAUUCGAAACUGGCAGGCUAGAGUCUUGUAGAGGGGGGUAGAAUUCCAGGUGUAGCGGUGAAAUGCGUAGAGAUCUGGAGGAAUACCGGUGGCGAAGGCGGCCCCCUGGACAAAGACUGACGCUCAGGUGCGAAAGCGUGGGGAGCAAACAGGAUUAGAUACCCGUGUAGUCCCAU
rnacentral:rRNA from 1 species